rnacentral:rRNA from 1 species
GACGAACGCUGGCGGCGUGCUUAACACAUGCCAGUCGAACGGAAAGGCCCUGCUUUUGUGGGGUGCUCGAGUGGCGAACGGGUGAGUAACACGUGAGUAACCUGCCCUUGACUUUGGGAUAACUUCAGGAAACUGGGGCUAAUACCGGAUAGGAGCUCCUGCUGCAUGGUGGUGGUUGGAAAGUUUCGGCGGUUGGGGAUGGACUCGCGGCUUAUCAGCUUGUUGGUGGGGUAGUGGCUUACCAAGGCUUUGACGGGUAGCCGGCCUGAGAGGGUGACCGGCCACAUUGGGACUGAGAUACGGCCCAGACUCCUACGGGAGGCAGCAGUGGGGAAUAUUGCAGAAUGGGCGGAAGCCUGAUGCAGCAACGCCGCGUGCGGGAUGACGGCCUUCGGGUUGUAAACCGAUUUCGCCUGUGACGAAGCGUGAGUGACGGUAAUGGGUAAAGAAGCACCGGCUAACUACGUG